rnacentral:lncRNA from 1 species
UUAAGCAAUUAAGUAAUAAAGCUAAGUCUUAGUCAUAAUCAUAAAUCCCAAAAUAAGGUAAAUAAUACAGUUUGCGGAAAAAGACAUAGCCCGACAUCGGGGUGUUACCAAUCAUGAGCAUAUAUGAUAAUACUACAAGUCUGAAAGAGUCUACUCCACUAUUUCAUAGCUAAAACAGAAGGAAAUAAGAUAGAGGGAGAAGCACUGGGCUGCGAAUCGCCGGGCAGCUACCAUUGAAUCUUCGGAAUCUGCUGGACAGCUCUCAACCCUCGCAAGCAGGACCUGGUGCAUCUGAAUCUGCACACGAGGUGCAGGGAGUAAAGUGAGUACUCCAACUCAGUGAGUAAUAAUAAUAAAUGCAGACUGGGUAAUAAGAAAUCACGUAAAGGCACAUCAAUAGACUAUAAAGAAGCAGUAAAAGCCAGUAAAAGCAAUGAAACAGUGAAAAUAGGUUAAAGUCACUUUAGUUUAGUUAAAACUUCUUUGGAAAUACCUUUUUAACAGUUAAGCAAGUAAAUGGCAGACAAUUAGGAAAGAUAAACACAUAAAGAACCGCCCCUUGGGCACAAUACCAACAGAAUCAGCCCCUUGGGCACAAUACCAACAGAAUCAGCCCCUCGGGUAACACAUGGAACAAUACCAGCCCCUCGGGCUCUAUUUUAUAUCACAAUGUGUAUCCGUGCUCACUGAGGGUGUGCAGACUCCUGGAGGGGACCCUUACGGCCCAAGCGCAAUAUCAAGUCAUCUCGUGGCAUAAUCACAUAGGCUCUCGACAUCAUAUCAACAAACCACCUCGUGGCAUACAACUCUCAGGACCUAGGCCUCAUAAUCAUAAUCAGUGUUUCCUCACAACAUAGGCCCUCGGCCUUACUCAUUCAGAAUCUCACAAGCCACUGGGGCAAUAAAACAUGAUGCUCAACCCAAAAUAUCAUUUUAAGUGUUAAAGCAGAGUAAACAUGGCUGAGUUAUGAAAACAGUUAAAUAUAAUAUGACUGAGUACAAGUAUAAAGUCAAAAUAGUGAGAAAAUAUCAGUAAAAAUCCCCUAAGGGUUCAAAUAGUUGGCACGAGGCCCAAAUAUGACAUUCAGCCCAAGACAAAAUGAUAACAAAUAGUUUUCGGUCAAAUACGCGGUAAAACAAUCAUUGGGAUGAACUAAGUCACAAUCCUCAAUUGUGCAUGACCCCACGCUUGUCAUCUAGCGCGUGCGUCACCUCAAUAUAGCACAACAAUCUGCAAUCCGAAGUUUCAUACCCUCAUGACAACAUUUACAAUCAUUACUCACCUUUACCCAAUCCAAAUCUCUAGCUCGCGAUGCCUGUGCCCCUCGAGUCGGCCUCCGAAUGCUCCAAAUCUAACAAAAAUCAGUGCAAAAUCAUCAAAAUAUGCUAAGGGAACAAAACUCACUCGAAAGAAAUCAAAUUACAACACAAAUUCCAAAAUUAGCCAAACCCGACCCCCAGGCCCACGUCUCAGAUCCCGAUAAAAAUUACAUCAAUGGACUCCUUAUUGCUCCCCGAGUUCAUUCAUACCAAAAUCACCUCCCGAAGCUAUCCGAACCAUCGAAACUCACAUCCGAGCCCUCUAACACAUAAGUCAACAUCCGGUUGACUUUUCCAACUUAAGCUUCCUUAAAAGAGACUAAGUGUCUCAAACCUUACCAAAUCCUUUUCGAGCCCGAUCCAACCAACCCGAGCACUCAUAGAACCGAUAAACAAAGCAAUAAAAAGCAGAAAUGAGGGAAACAGAACGGUAACUCAUAAGACGACUGGCCGGGUCGUCACAUCCUCCCUCUCUUAAAUAAACAUUCGUCCUCGAACGAGUCAAGAAACAUACCCGAAGCCUCAAAUAGGUGAGGAUAUCUACUUCGCAUCUCCCGCUCGGUCUCCUAGGUAGCCUCCUCUAUGGGCCAACCUCUCCACUGCACUUUCACUAAAGCUAUAUCCUUUGAUCUCAACUUUUGAACCUGAUGCUCCAAAAUAGCUAGUGGCUCCACAUCAUAAGUCAAAUCACCAUCCAACUGAACCGUUCUGAAAUCCAAAAUAUGAGACGGGUCCCCAAUAUACUUUUAGAGCAUAAAAACAUGAAAUACCGGAUGCACACUCAACAAGCUGGGUAGCAAAGCAAGCUCAUAAGCCACCUCCCCAGUCCUCCGAAGCACCUCAAAAGGCCCAAUGAACCGAUGACUCAAUUUACCCUUCUUCCCAAACCUCAUAACACCCUUCAUGGGUGAAAUCUUUAGCAGAACCUUCUCACCAACCAUGUAGGACACAUCCCGAACCUUCCUAUCAGCAUAACUCUUUUGCCUCGACUGCGCUGUAUGAAACCUCUCCUAAAUUACCUUCACCUUCUCUAAAGCAUCCUAUACCAAGUCUGUCCCCAAUAGCCUAGCCUCACCUAACUUAAACCAACCAACUGGAGAUCUACACCGUCUCUCAUACAAAGCCUCAUAUGGAGCCAUCUGAAUACUCGAAUGAUAGUUGUUGUUAUAAGCAAACUCUGCAAGCGGUAGAAACUGAUCCCAUAACCCUCUGAAAUCAAUGACACAAGUAUGCAACAUGUCCUCCAAUAUCUGAAUAGUGCACUCGGACUAUCCGUUCAUUUGCGGGUGAAAAGCUAUGCUCAACUCAACUUGAGUAGCCAACUCUCGCUGCACAAACCUCCAAAACUGCGAAGUAAACUGAGUGCCCCUAUCUGAAAUGAUGGAAACUGGGACACCAUGCAAAUGAACAAUCUCCUGGAUAUAAAUCUCUGUCAACCGCUCUGAAGAAUAUGUAGUACACACAGGAAUAAAGUGCGCGGACUUGGUUAGCCGAUCCACAAUCACCCAAAUAGCAUCGAACUUCUUCAAAGUCCAUGGGAGCCCAACUAUAAAGUCCAUAGUGAUCCGCUCCCACUUCCACUCUGGAAUAUCCAUCUGCUGAAGCAAGCCACCCGGUCUCUGAUGCUCAUAUUUCACCUGCUGACAAUUGAGACACCGAGCUACAAAUUCCACAAUGUCUUUCUUCAUUCUCCUCUACCAAUAAUGUUGUCUCAAAUCGUGAUACAUCUUCGUAGCAUCCGGAUGAAUGGAAUACCGCGAGCUGUGGGCCUCUUCCAGAAUCAACCCCUGAAGCCCAUCUACAUUGGGCACACAUAUCCGGCCCUGCAUCCUCAACACCCCAUCAUCACCAAUAGUCACAUCUCUGGCAUAUCGUGCUGAACCCUGUCCUUAAGGACAAGCAAAUACGGAUCAUCAUACUGGCGCUCUCUGAUGCGAUCAUAUAAGGAAGACCGAGAAAUCACACAAGCCAACACCCGACUCGGCUCUGAAAUAUCUAACCUCACGAACCGAUUGGCCAAGGCCUGAACAUCAACUGCAAGAGGUCUCUCCCCUACUGGAAUAUAUGUCAAACUCCCCAUACUCAUCGCCUUUUGGCUCAAAGCAUCGGCCACCACAUUGGCCUUCCCCAGAUGGUACAAUAUAGUAAUAUCAUAAUCCUUUAGCAACUCCAACCACCUUCGCUACCUCAAAUUGAGAUCAUUCUGCUUGAACAAGUGCUGGAGACUACAAUGAUCAGUAAACACCUCACAAGACACACCAUACAAGUAAUGCCUCCAAAUCUUCAAUGCAUGGACUAUGGCAGCCAACUCCAAAUACCAACUCUCGAAGCAUCACAAUACACGGUAUAUGGACCUGAAGCUGAUGGCAAAACUAACACUGGAGCUGUGAUCAAGGCUAUCUUGAGCUUUUGAAAGCUCUCUUUACACUCAUCCGACCAUACAAAUGAAGCACCCUUCUGAGUCAACUUGGGCAAAGGCGAUGCGAUAGAUGAGAAUUCCUGAACAAACAGACGAUAAUAGCCUGCCAAACCAAGAAAGAUGCGAAUCUAUGUGGCUGAGGACGGUCUAGGCCAACUCUGAAGUGGCUCUAUCUUCUUCGGAUCAACCUGAAUACCCUCGCUGGACACCAUGUGUCCCAAGAAAGCUACUGAACUAAGCCAAAACUCAUACUUGGAGAAUUUUGCAUAAAACUUCCCCUCCCUCAAUCUCUGCAACACAACUCUCAAAUGCUCCGCGUGCUCCUCCUGACUACGUGAAUACACUAGAAUAUCAUUAAUGAAGACUAUGACAAAUGAGUCGAAAUAAGGCCGAAACAUGUUGUUCAUCAAAUGCAUGAACGCUGCUGGGGCAUUGGUCAUCCCAAAAGACAUUACCAAGAAAUCAUAAUGACUAUAUCGAGUUCUGAAAGUUGUCUUAAGAAUAUCCGAGUCCCUGAUCUUCAACUGGUGAUAACCUGAAUGGAGAUCAAUCUUGGAGAACACUUUCUCUCCCUGAAGCUGGUCGAACAAAUCAUCAAUACGAGGCAAAGGAUACUUGUUCUUAACUGUUACUUUGUUCAACUGCCUAUAAUCAAUGCACAUCCUCAUAGUGCCAUACCCCAAGGUGACACACUAGGCCGAAUGAACCCCUUAUCCAGGAGUUUCUGAAGCUGCUCCUUUAACUCCUUCAACUCCGCUGGUGCCAUACAAUACGGCGGAAUAGAAAUGGGCUGAGUGCCCAGCACCAGAUCAAUACCAAAAUCAAUAUCCUUGUCCGGCGGUAUGCCCGAUAGGUCUGCAAGAAACACAUCGGGAAAAUCCCUCACAACUGAAACAGAAUCAAUACUAGGAGUUUCUACACCGACAUCCCUCACAAAGGCUAGAUAAGAAAGAUAACUCUUCCCAACCAUACGCUGGGCCUUCAAGAAUAAAAGUACCCUACUGAGAACAUAAUCAGUCAAACCUCGCCACUCAAUCCGUGGUACACCCGGUAUAACCAAUGUCACUAUCUUAGCAUGACAGUCCAGAAUAGCAUGACACGGAGAUAGCCAAUCCAUGCCCAAAAUGACAUCGAAAUCCACCAUACAUAAUAAUAAAAGAUCCACUCGGGUCUCCAAACCCCUAAUAGUCACCACACACGACCAGUACACACGGUAUACAACAACAGUAUCGCCUACCGGAGUAGAUACAUGAACAGGUGAAAUAAGAGACUCACGUGGCGUAUCUAAAUAACGAGCAAAGUAUGAUGACACAUAAGAAAAGGUGGAAGCAGGAUCAAAUAAUACAUAGGCAUCUCUGUGGCAGACUGAAACAAUAACUGUAAUAACAACAUCAGAAGUAAUAUCAUCGGGUCUAGCUGGGAGUGCAUAAAAACGGGCCUGACCGCCACUUGAUCGACCUCCCCCUCUAGGGCGACCCCUAGCUGACUGACCUCCACCCCUAGUUGGUUGGGUGGGUGGUGGUGAAGUAACUAGUGCUAAAGCCGAUGGCUGACUCCUUUGCUGAGAUGAACUAGCAAGGUGACGGGGACACUGCCUCCACAUAUGACCCAUCUCUCCACACUCAUAACAACUCCUGGGUGCUAGAGAUGGGGACUGAAGGGAACCCCUAGCACCGGAAUGACUAGCUGAUGCACCUGGCAUAGAAGGGCCUUGAACUGAUGGGGCACGGGACGAACUCUGAGCUGGAAGGGCACUAAGUGAUGACUGGCUCUAAUGAGAACUGUGAGAACCAUGACCCAAUGACGCCCCACGAUACCCUGGGCGAGCUGGUUGAGCAUGCCUGAAUGGACGACCUCUGCCGUGCUGAAAUUGACCUCUCGAAGGAGCACCGCCAUAACUACCAGAUCCGCGAGGCCUCUUGGCCUCCCUCUCCUCUUGCUCCUGGCGAUAAACAGACUCAAUCUCACGAGCAAUGUCUACAACCUCCUCAAAAGUAGCACCAGUCACCCUCUCUCUGGUGAUGAGAAUACGAAGCUGAUAAGUGAGGCCAUCAACAAACCUCCCAAUCCUCUCUCUAUCUAUCAGAACCAACCAAAUCUCAUGGCAAGCUAACUCAGAGAACCUUAUCUCAUACUGCGUCACAGUCAUCUCUCCCUGAUGUAACCACUCAAACUGCCUGCACAGCUCCUCCCUGCGAGACUGCGGCACAUACUUCUCCAGAAAGAGAAUGGAGAACUGUUGCCAAGUAAGGGGUGCUGCACCAACAGGCCUACGCCUCUCAAAAGCCUCCCACCAAGUGAAGGCAGCUCCAGAAAAUUAAUAAAUAGUGAAAGCGACCCCGCUGGUCUCCAGAAUACCCGCUGUACGAAGCAUUAUCCAAGAAACCCUAGGCAUCCUCGCCCUCUACACUACUGAAAGUCGGAGGCUGAAGUCUACCAAACCUCUCCAACCUAUGCUGCUCGUCCUCUGGCAUGGAAGGAACUACAUAGUCCUGAGCAGCUGCAACCGGCUGGGCUGGAUGCGCCCCCGGUGUUUGAAGUCCCUGCACGACCUGCUCUGGUGUGCAAGCGGCGGGAGUCUGAGUGCCUCCCCCAUCCUGAGAAGUAGUCACGAUUGUAGUAACUGAGAUUGCCUGAUCUAGGCCAGUGCAUACUGAUAGAAUCUGAGCCAGGGCCUCCUGAAGACCCGGAAUCACAAUAGGCACAGCUGGUGCCUGGGCUGGUGCUGCUGGAGUAUCCACAACUGGGCCCUGAUCCUAAACUGGGGCGGCUGGUGGAUCUGCAGGUGCUGCCCUAACUGCUGUUUGGGCCACACCUCUGCUCCUACCGCGACCACGACCGCGUCCUCGGCCUUUAGUGGCCACAGCUGGUGGUACUGGUGGUCGUUCAUCCUGGCCGGUAGCGCGUAUCCUCACAAUCGGUGAGAGAAUAGAAUAACAGAAGUUUAGUACUCGGAUCAACAGAUUCGCACGACAAGAAUUUCAAGAAUAUGAAGUUUUUCCUAAAGGUUCUGUAGCCUCUUGAGGAUAAAUACAGACGUCUCCGUACCGAUCUGCGAGACUCUACUAAACCUGCUCAUGACUCGUGAGACCUAUGUAACCUAAGCUCUGAUACUAACUUGUCACGACCCUAAACCCGGACCCGAUCGUGGUGGCUCCUCUCAUGAAGACAAGGCCAGCCGACACGUUCCCAAUUCAUUUUUAAGCAAUUAAGUAAUAAAGCUAAGUCUUAAUCAUAAUCAUAAAUCCCAAAAUAAGGUAAAUAAUAUAGUUUGCGGAAAAAGACAUAGCCCGACAUCGAGGUGUCACCAGUCAUGAACAUCUAUAAUAAUACUACAAGUCUAAAAGAGUCUACUCCACUAUUUCAUAACUAAAAUAGAAGGAAAUAAGAUAGAGGGAGAAGCACUGGGCUGCGAAUCGCUGGGCAGCUACCUAGACAAUCUCCAGAAUCUGCUAGACAACUCUAAACCCUCGCAAGCAGGACCUGAUGCGCCUAAAUCUGCACACGGGGUGCAGGGAGUAAAGUGAGUACUCCAACUUAGUGAGUAAUAAUAAUAAAUGCAGAUUGAGUAAUAAGAAACCACGUAAAGGCACGUCAACAGGUUAUAAAGAAGCAGUAAAAGCCAGUAAAAGCAAUGAAACAAUGAAAAUAGGUAAAGUCACUUUAGUUCAGUUAAAAUUUCUUUGAAAAUGUCUUUUUAACAGUUAAGCAAGUAAAUGACAGGCAAUUAGGAAAGAUAAACACAUAAAAAACCGCCCUCGAGUACAAUACCAACAGAAUCAGCCCCUCGGGCAAUACAUGGAACAAUACCAGCCCAUCGGACUCUAUCUCAUAUCACAAUGGGUACCCGCACUCACUGGGGGUGUGCAGACUCCUGGAGGGGCCCCUUACGGCCCAAGUGUAAUAUCAAGCCAUCUCGUGGAAUAAUCACUGUCACACCUCCAUUUUACCACCCCGGAAGGUAAUAUAAGGGAGUUUUUUCAAUUAAAGUGACAUUAUUCGAAAUAAGAUUAUUUAUUUAUUUUUUAGAGUCGCCACUUGGAAUAGUUUAUUUGGUGUCCCAAGUCACCGGUUUAUUUUAAAAUCCCAAAUUGAGGAAAUUUUGACUUUAUUUUUAAAAGUCUGCGAACCAAAAAUUAAACUUGUUUGUUUGAUACACAAUGCGAAUCAUGUCACGGGAACCGUACCCACGAUCUACAACACGUUUAAUUUAUUAAAGUUAUUAGAAGUUUUGGCCGGGUCACAUAAAUGUACCCCAAAUUUGAAAAUUAGAUAUCACAACUACGUCACGAGAACCAUACCCAUAGCUAUGAUGAUUUUAUUAUAAACACGCCUAAAGCAAACUUUGAAUGUUCAAAAUGUUUUCUACACUCAGUUAUAAUAUUAAAGUGAGGGCCAUAGAUUAGGUGAUUCAAUUGUGAAUGACACGCCUCAAUUUAUUUUAAAAGAUUUGUAUUUCACUAAAACAAACUAAGGAUGCUCCUAUUUAAAUAUAAUUUGAAAUUAGGUAUCACAGCUAUGCCACGAGAAUCGUACCCGUAGUUGUAAUGAUUUAAUUACGUGCAUAAAGCAAACUACGAUGUUCAUGAGUGAUUUUCUUCCCUAAUCUAAUUUGAUAUUAUUGUAAGCCUCGAGAGUUAUGGAAAAUUAUUGCGAAAAGGUGUACGGUUAGAUUUCAUGAAUUACUAACAAGAUCAACUGUAUAUUUACAACUUAACAAAUUACCAACAUCCUAUAUUUUGCAACUAUUUUGAUAUCUAGUGAUUUAAAAGAGAUGGGCUCCUUGCACGAGUAGAUCUUAGGCUUUGUAUGGCAUUUCUAUUAACCAAUAAAUGAUGUUGCUCUGGACCAAUGGUCCUACUUAAUUUAUAAAACAGAGUUUUUUGUUGACAGUGAAUCUUUCUUCAAAAUCUCAAUUGCCAUUUAGCACCACAAAAUUAAGAGUUAAAAUUAAAAGGCUCUCCGGCCUCUCCCCUGGUGAGUAGCAUGGCACCAUUUUAUUUUAUUUCUUUUUGGGGAUUUGCCUUAGUACUAGAUUAGAAGAUUUGAUGACAGUCAUUGGUGUUACCUAAAUAAUUAACUGCUUUUCGGCUUGUCUGCAAUCAGUUCACUAGUCUUCCAAGAACCAAUGAUGUUUGCUUUAUAGCCACAAUUGCCUAUUUUCAUGGAUCUGGCCUAAAGAAGAGGUAUAAAACGAUAAAACUAAAGUUCAGCUUCCUUUUUAUUUCUCUCUUCCCUUUAACACAAACAGUAUCUACACAGUGAGCUCCAAAUGCAUAUCAGUAAGAGAAAUCAAAAUCCACGGCAUGACUGUUGAAAUCAAACUCGUCCAUUCAAGGUUUAAAAUGUAUAUAAGAAAACAAACAAAACUUAUCUACUCAGUCACGAAGGAGGCAAGAACUAUCCCACGAGAAAAGCUCAAAAUAUUGUCACAUAAGCCAUAAGAUAGGAAUAAGAGAAAUUAAACAAAUGAUACAAGCAUUCACGACACAGAUCUGAAAAAGAACAACAUUGAAAUUUAUAUGAAUUUUCAUAAUCCAAACCCAUUUCUCAACAUAAGUGUAUUUACAACCAAUUUGUACACAAAGGCUUGAGGAAAUACCUGAUUUCAAGAGAUUAAGGAAAACACAAAAUUACUCUCUGAGACGAGCAGCAAUAUCAUCCAAAAAUGGCUUCAGAUCAACAGCAAACAACCCAGCACAGCUCGACACAGAAGGAACGUCGUCCGUUUUUUUUGAGCUGCUGCGCAGCUUUUCUUUUUAGUUCUCUCAUCCUUUUUCCGUCCCUAUGUUUCUCUCACUGCUCAGAUUUGUUUUGUCUGUCCCGUUUUUUUUAAAGCUAGAAAAUCGAAUGAUUAUUUUUGGGGAAGGGAUCGGAUUAAACAAAUGAAGGGGAAAGCUGAAGUUUCUGGCAUUUAGGUGGCUGUUUCGCUGGGAUUUAGGAGUUAGAUUUGAGCUGAUUUUUAUUGUUGAGAGAGUAGGGUCUGUUGGCUUUUGGAGAAGAAGAAGUUCGAAAAAAAAAAAUGGAGAAGAACCAGGAGCUCUUGGUAGCGCCGUUUUUUUGGGUCUGAUGGAUAAUGUGACAAUUUUU